CCAGGUAGAGGGCACGGAAGCGGGCGCAGAAGCCGCUGGAAGGCAGGUUUGAGGCCGCGGCGGCGGGGCACGGCCGAUGGACCUGCUGGGACCCCAGUCGGGGACUUUCUUGGCCGGAUGGAGAACGAGCCCGUUUAUCCAUGAAACUGUGCCACGGCGUCGCCGACUGAGCUUCUGGUGAACGUUUUCACCGCUGAGGACAGAAGAGGCGACUGAUUGGUAGCUGCUCGGAGAACCCAAGAAGUCUUGGGGAGAGUAUCGUAAAGGCUGCAGUAAGGCUGGGCCUUGGCAUCUGCUCCGGAGUCUUAUCUUUGAUAGUUUCCUUCUGACACAUAAAGGAUGCAUGCAGCACCUUGGAGACAGGCCCGGGAGCUAAAGUGCUAAGACAAGCCAGGGCCUGGCCACCUGUGGACCACCUGUCUAUGCCCAUUGCCAAAGACCAUCAGGAACAAAGUUGGAUUUACUGAUUUGCUGCAGUGAGGGAGACUGCAUAGGUGUCUAGAUGAGUCUAGAUGAGGAGUCCUGGGCCAUCCCAGUCCGUAGGUGUUACAAACGACUUAUAAUAGAACUUGUGUUAAGUACUGUGGGGGCAGUUUCAAGGAAGCAGGAGUUCCUUCUGGAUUGGGUGCUUUGAGGAAGCAGGAUCAAUUCUAUGAUUGGGUAUCUUGAUUUUUAUAUAGAAGCUCAGACAAAAGCAGCAAAGCUAAAGCUGUGUUUGGUAAAAAAGAGAACUGUCACUUGUGUUAGCUGGCAGUGGGGGACGUUGGGUGGUUUUUGUGGUUUGCACAGUGGCCUUGAUUUUGUCUGCCCUCAGACAUGACUGUGGAAUGGACCUGUUUUGUCAGACCUCGUCUGAUGUUGGUGAUCUGUGAGGUUGGCUCUGUUUGGCGGGAGAACUUCAUGGUCUACCUGUGAGCACCUGGCUGGUCGGAGCCUGCUACUGGGAACAACUUUUUUUCACUGCAAAGGCAAAGCCUUGACCUUCAAGUCCCAGCCUUCUCUCUAUCCUAGUCUCAUAUCUUCAUGGUGGGAUAAGGAUCAUUACAUUGGAAGAGGAAGAAGGGAUAGAUGAGAAUAAAGAGAGGGAUUUGUGUGGGUGUGGGGGUGAAACAGCACCCUAGUUUAGAGUAUCCCUAUGUCGGUCACCUGAAGAGAUCUAUGGUUCCCUUUAUCUGGAUAUGAUGUGAUUCCAAAUCCAUGUUGGCAAGGGAGGUGGGGGAAGCAGGGUGAGGGGAAUUAGGAUAACAUCUCUGUGCAGGUGCCUUCUGAAUUGGAGGAAGUUCCUGUAAAGGGGUGGGGAAGGCAAUAAGAAAUGGCCAUUCUUAGUACAGAUAAAUCCUCACUUAGAAAUACAAUCCACUCUCAGAAAACACUGGUGGUAUGAUCACACACCCCAAUCUUCUGGUACAUCCCUGCUUUUAAGUGUUAGAACUAUUCAUUGCCUGGGAUAUGGUUUUGCUACAAACUAUCUUGUUUUAUACAAAUUUAUUUUUAGGGAAGGGAAUCCAUUACUUGUCUGAUCCUCUGAGAAGCAGACAGCAAAAUGGGAUUAGAAGUGCAAGAGAUUUAUUUGGGGAAACACCUGUGAGGGAUCAAGGGUUUGAGGGAUCAAGGGUUUGAGUAGGGGGGGGCUCUGCAGUAUAGGGACAGCCCCUGCAUAAGCAGAGAAGGAGAGAAGGACGGGGGGUGGGGGGAAGAACCUAAGGCCGCAGUGCAGUCCUGAGAAAAUCUGGGCCAGGCCGCUGGGGACUCCCCAGGCUGAAAUUCCCCAUUAGAGGAGUCCCCUCAUUGGGCAGGAGGGGUGUGGCACCUGCGCCCCUGCCGUGCUCAGUCUUUGCCCAGAGGCAGCCAGGGGAAGCCUGGCCCCACUCUACUCCUUUCCUCGGACUCUCAUGCAACCAUCUGAGCCCCACCCACCAGGGCCACACAUGUCUUCAGUGGGCAGCACCACUUUUUUUGAGUCAUUGAACCAGUUUAAGUCCUCCUGGAAGCAGGGACCAAGAUGGGAUUAGACAUGCAAGAGAUUUAAUGGGGGGGAUGGCCAUGAGGAUAAAAAAGAGAAAGGAAGGGGAAAAUUUUUUUAAAACUACACAAAUGUGGGCAGCUCGGGUGGCUCAGAGGUUUAGGGCCUCCCACAGCCCAGAGCAUGGUCCUGGAGA